UGAGGAAUAUUGGUCAAUGGGCGGAAGCCUGAACCAGCCAUGCCGCGUGAAGGAAGAAGGUCCUAUGGAUUUUAAACUUCUUUUGUCGGAGAGCAAUAAGGGUCUCGCGAGAUCCGAUGAGAGUAUCCGACGAAUAAGCAUCGGCUAACUCCGUGCCAGCAGCCGCGGUAAUACGGGGGAUGCGAGCGUUAUCCGGAUUUAUUGGGUUUAAAGGGAGCGUAGGCGGGCUGUUAAGUCAGCGGUCAAAUGUCAGGGCCCAACCUUGGCAUGCCGUUGAUACUGGCGGCCUUGAGUUCACACAAGGAAGGUGGAAUUCGUCGUGUAGCGGUGAAAUGCUUAGAUAUGACGAAGAACUCCGAUUGCGAAGGCAGCCUUCUGGGGUGUUACUGACGCUGAGGCUCGAAAGUGCGGGAAUCAAACAGGAUUAGAUACCCUGGUAGU
rnacentral:rRNA from 1 species